UUAAAAACCCCAUUCAAAUUAAGAUCAAUCUAACAAUUGAAGACGAAAGUUACAGUUCAUUAAAUUCAUAUUUGAUAUCUUUUUAUAAAUGUUAAGAAAUUACCAUGUAGAUUAAUUGACCUCGUCAAAGUUUAAUAAGAACCACACUAAAACCAUUUGGCUGUCACUACAGAUACAUGGCGGAACGCAAAAAGGAAGCAAAGAGGCACAGACAAAUCAAUAAAAAUAUUGGCGAACUAUGCGAAGCGGGUCGAGCGCUCAUCGAUUUAUUUAUGUGCCAACGAGAAAGAACUCAAGAACCCGACACCAGAGAAACACACUGAGAAACAGAGAGAGAAAAAGAGAGAGAAAGACAAAAAUACAAGCUUGAGUGCUUUUUGCAUAAGCUGCGCCCAUAAACCACUCAUUUAUUGCCGCUUCAUCAUCAAGUCGCCGCUGCUGGAAACACUUCGCCACCGACGACAGCGGCGGCAAAGGCAACGGCAACGGCAACAUUCAAAAUUUUAUAUAGGUCAUUCCAUUGGGAAUAUGGGCAUGAGAAUGGGAAUUGAAUGGGCCUGAAGCAGCUGUGCCGCUUAGAUUCCGACUCAAUUAUAUAAUCACCGAGAGCAUUGCACAUCAAA